rnacentral:rRNA from 1 species
ACGGCAGGUGGCCGGUGGCGCGCCUCGUGCGCGUCGUCGGUGUCUAGCCGGCUCCGUCACACGGCACGAGUCCCGACCGUGGUGUCGCGAAGCCCUUCCCUUGGGCUUCACCGCCUCCUCUCGUAAAAAGACGCGCACUGGACGCGGCAGUGGCUCUUCAAGGCGGCGGGCGCACAGACUGACUCUGUGGCCAGCUGCGUGGAGUCCUCGUUGGCCGCGCGAGAUGCGUUGGAGGCCGGCGGUUGGCGGCGAGUAGAUCGGUCACCCAUCCGACCCGUCUUGAAACACGGACCAAGGAGUCUAACAUGUGUGCGAGUCAAUGGGUCUCGAAUAAGCCCAGAGGCGCAAUGAAAGCAAAGGCCGGACUCGACUCCGGCCGAGUUGGGAUCCCGGGGCCGCCGAGCUCCGGGCGCACCAACGACCCGCCCUGUCCGAUUCAUCGGUUGGGCGGAGUCUGAGCAUACACGUUGGGACCCGAAAGAUGGUGACCUAUGCCCGGGCAGGACGAGGCCAGAGGAAACUCUGGUGGAGGUCCGCAG